CGUCACAGCUACUGGUUAUUAACCAGCAACCUUUCCUCCCAAUUGAAAGUGCUUUACAACCCUAGGGCCUUCUUCACACACGCGGCAUGGCUGCGUCAGGCUUUCGCCCAUUGCGCAAUAUUCCCCC
rnacentral:rRNA from 1 species